rnacentral:rRNA from 1 species
ACGGAGGGUGCGAGCGUUGUUCGGAAUCACUGGGCGUAAAGGGCGCGUAGGCGGCCUGCUAAGUCGAACGUGAAAUCCCCGGGCUCAACCCGGGGACUGCGUCCGAUACUGGUAGGCUCGAAUUCGGGAGAGGGAUGCGGAAUUCCAGGUGUAGCGGUGAAAUGCGUAGAUAUCUGGAGGAACACCGGUGGCGAAGGCGGCAUCCUGGACCGACAUUGACGCUGAGGCGCGAAAGCCAGGGGAGCAAACGGGA